rnacentral:rRNA from 1 species
UCCUUAGAUGUUCUGGGCUGCACGCGCGCUACACUGACGCGUUCAACGACUAUUCACCUUGCCCGGGAGGGUUGGGUAAUCUUUUGAAAACGCUUCGUGAUGGGGAUAGAUUAUUGCAAUUAUUAAUCUUCAACGAGGAAUUCCUAGCAAGCGCGAGUCAUCAGCUCGUGCUGAUUACGUCCCUGCCCUUUGUACACACCGCCCGUCGCUCCUACCGAUUGAGUGGUCCGGUGAGGCUUUGGGAUCUGAGCGGAAAGAGCGUUUCGCUGUUUCUGCCCGGAAAACUCAGUCGAACCUUAUCAUUUAGAGGAAGGAGAAGUCGUAACA